GAGCGGGGGACGGGUGAGUAAUGCCUAGGAAAUUGCCCUGAUGUGGGGGAUAACCAUUGGAAACGAUGGCUAAUACCGCAUGAUGCCUACGGGCCAUUGAGGGGGACCUUCGGGCCUCUCGCGUCAGGAUAUGCCUAGGUGGGAUUAGCUAGUUGGUGAGGUAAGGGCUCACCAAGGCGACGAUCCCUAGCUGGUCUGAGAGGAUGAUCAGCCACACUGGAACUGAGACACGGUCCAGACUCCUACGGGAGGCAGCAGUGGGGAAUAUUGCACAAUGGGCGCAAGCCUGAUGCAGCCAUGCCGCGUGUAUGAAGAAGGCCUUCGGGUUGUAAAGUACUUUCAGUCGUGAGGAAGGCGGUGUCGUUAAUAGCUGCAUUGUUUGACGUUAGCGACAGAAGAAGCACCGGCUAACUCCGUGCCAGCAGCCGCGGUAAUACGGAGGGUGCGAGCGUUAAUCGGAAUUACUGGGCGUAAAGCGCAUGCAGGUGGUAAGUUAAGUCAGAUGUGAAAGGGCGGGGCUCAACCUCGGAAUAGCAUUUGAAACUGGCAGACUAGAGUACUGUAGAGGGGGGUAGAAUUUCAGGUGUAGCGGUGAAAUGCGUAGAGAUCUGAAGGAAUACCGGUGGCGAAGGCGGCCCCCUGGACAGAUACUGAC
rnacentral:rRNA from 1 species